rnacentral:sRNA from 1 species
UCCAUUCAUUCGUAUUGCGCGUCUCGUCUGUGCCGGUCGUCCAAAGCUGCUCAGGUCUUACAGAUUGUGCUUCAUUUGUCAUCGAACACACAGACACUCACACACAUACACGCAGCCACAGACACUUCAUAGAAUCAUACAGUUAGGUAGACAGUGUUCAGCAACAAAGACAAAACAGUGCUUUAAAGUGCCGAAGUGAACAUUCGCAGCAAUCAAAUCGAAUACAACACAAAAAGCAAACGCGUUAUUCAUGCAAAAUAAAAUCAAAUCAAAUGAAAUAAUACAAAAUAAACUUGACUAUCGCCAGACACAGACACACGCAUACACUCAAAUGUGAAGAGAGACAACAAAACAGCAGCAGGUCGGCCAGACAACUCACAAACACACAAACAUAUACAGCUAGCAGUUAGCAGCUACAGUUAUCAAAUGCGGCCGCCGCCGGCCUGUCAACUUGUCCAGACAGCGAGAGCGAGAGCGAGAGAGAACGAUACAGAGAGGGAGAGAUGGGGGGAGAGAGAGCGACAGCGAGAGUGUGUGGGCUAGAGCGAGCGAGCGAGAGCGGGCCUAUAAAUUUCAUAUGUGCAAUGUUUGUGCCUGGCUGCUGUGCUGUGCGUUGUAUCAGCUAACCGGAUGUUGAUUUGUUGGCCGCAACAAACACAAAACAUGGUCCAAGCCAAGCAGCAGCCAUCUUAACACUCACACCCAUGCCCACACACACACACUCAUAGAGAGAGAAAGAGAGGCAUACGCACUCCCUCGCUGGUACAUUUGCAACACUGGCGCUGCCUUUAAGCACGAUGAAAAAGAAUGCAAAAUGAUGCUAGAUAAAAGACUUGCAACACGCUUGAAUGAGGCCAGAAAACAAAGCCAAACAAGAGUGCAUAUUCACAUACUCUCUAUACACCCCUCAUAUACUCUCUCUCUCUCUAUCAACUCUAUAUUCUAUAUAUAGGCAGCCAUGGAACGGACAAGCACAGCUUUAAAUAGAAACUAGAAGACUGACAGCGCUAGAUCCAGGCAAAUUGAUCUGGCUACGAGCUGACGAAACAGUUUCCCAACAAUAAGCCACACAUGCUUGUAAAUGAGAGGCCAAAAAUGUAUUCCAAGUGCCCGGGGCAAAGGAGAGGGGACACGGGACACGGGACACGGCACGCAGGAUGCAGGAUGAAGGACGAAGGACGAAAGACGGCAUGCGUUCUCUAGCACACACUUCCGGCACGAGCUCGUCAGACUUGACUUGACUUGAGACUUCAGAAAACUUGGCUACUCUCGCUCUAUCUCUCUUUUUCGCUUUAGAGCGGGGGCGUGGCAGCAGCCCCAGAUG